AAUGAACGCUGGCGGCGUGCUUAACACAUGCAAGUCGCACGAGAACGCUUUAGCUUGCUAAAGCAAGUAAAGUGGCGCACGGGUGAGUAACGCGUGGGCAAUCUACCUCCGAAUCGGGGAUAACAUUGCGAAAGCGAUGCUAAUACCGGAUGACAUUCCUUGAACCCCGGUUUGAGGAAUCAAAGGUGGCCUCUACAUGUAAGCUACCGUUUGGAGAUGAGCCCGCGUACCAUUAGCUUGUUGGUGGGGUAACGGCCCACCAAGGCGACGAUGGUUAGCUGGUCUGAGAGGAUGAUCAGCCACACUGGAACUGACACACGGUCCAGACUCCUACGGGAGGCAG
rnacentral:rRNA from 1 species